rnacentral:sRNA from 1 species
AGCCUGCCUCUCCAUCUCCUCAGCUCCCACCCCCCAUAUCCUUGAGCCUCAGCUCAAAGGCAUCGUCACCAAACUGUUCUGCCGCCAGGGUUUCUACCUCCAGGCGAAUCCCGACGGAAGCAUCCAGGGCACCCCAGAGGAUACCAGCUCCUUCACCCACUUCAACCUGAUCCCUGUGGGCCUCCGUGUGGUCACCAUCCAGAGCGCCAAGCUGGGUCACUACAUGGCCAUGAAUGCUGAGGGACUGCUCUACAGUUCGGUGAGACAAUGAGGCUGAGUGGCCGGGAAAUACUGGGGACUCCCCUUCUUCAAUUUGUCCCUUGAGGGAAUGACAACCUUCCUCAACUACAGACAUUUUGCCCGGGACUCCUCCCUCCAGCUUUUGCUGAUGGCCUGUCAUCACUGCCAGUUCCAGACCAGCUCCUCUAGGGUCUCUCCAAUCCCCACUCCUUGCACACCCCCCAAACAGCCCCAGGUUCUUUGAAUGUCCAACUCUUUCUGCCUUUUAGGGCCCCUACUUCUUAUCCUACCUCAUCCAGAUUUUGUCAUUACUCACUUCCCUAGAGUCAUCCAGGAUAGGGGAUAGUGAGAGAUUGAGAGUACAGUGGAGAGAAGGAAUCUUAUUGCAAGACCCCUAAAAGUCUAGUUCUUUUUUUUUUUUUAAAUAGUGACAGGGUCUUGCUAUGUUGGCCAGGCUGGUCUCGAACUCCUGACUUCAGGUGAUCCACCCGCCUCCGCCUCCCAAAGUGUUGGGAUUAUAGGCAUGAGCCACCGUGCUUGGCCCAGAGCCUAGUUCUUAGCCCUCAGCCCUCUUCCUUGUCCUCCCUUUGCUCCCAGGUCCUACAUGGACUCAGAAGUUGUCCUCCCCCUCCCCUAAAAAACGUACGGAUUUGUGCUUUCCAUGAGCUCCUUUCUGCC